rnacentral:rRNA from 1 species
ACCUCUGGGAAUAUCUUUAAAUACUUUGGAAUGCUUAUCAAUGAUCUCCCACAGUUAAGUGCACUUGGGCUAGAGUAGUAUUGGGAUGGGUGACCUCCCGGGAAGUCCUUGUGGAGAUC